GUUUGUGUGUGAUGAGAAAAGUAAAAUAUCACACAGUUAUCCCUGUCUGAUAUAUUUUUAUGCUGAUUAUAAGUGAUCUGAUACAAAC